ACAUACUGUGUGGUGGUUGUCAUUUGAGCCUUCCAGUGGCCUUUUGCUGUGAUUUCAUACUAACCUCUAGCACUAGCCAUGGAAACUGCAAGCUGUGUGAUGCUGUCAUACUGGACAUGGACCCAGCAGUUGAAUUUUUCACGAGUUGCAUUUGGGGGCAAGCAUCUGGCAAUUUGGGGAUGCAGAGGAAGGUGUCUGCCCCACGCUGCUGCUUUUGUGGAGUGAUUUAAGACCCAACUGUGCGCAGUGCCUCCCCUCUUGCUGUGCACGCUGCAUGGAGCAUGGCGCAUAAACCACGAGCAGCCUGGGCGGUACCUGGUUAUUAGCAGGGCAGGUCGGCAGAUGAGUGAAGGGGGAAGCCCUGCUCAAAGCAUUCAUUAAAACACCAGCACGCCUCUUGUUCUCUUGGCUGCUUAGGAUGGGAGGCAGCCAAGAGUGCUGGGUUGGUUUUGUUUUGUUUUUUUAAGAAAAUAUAUAACCGAACAAGUUGAAAAGUAUGUUUUUUGCUCUUCUCUUGACCUGGCCUUUCCUGCUUGGAGAGGCCACAAAGCCAGCAUGAGGAGGAGGCCACCUCCACCGGGGAGCGCUGUGUCAAAGGCCUUCCUGACAUGUAGCGGAGGCACGGUCCCAGUGUGGCUCAGUGGGGAGGAGGUAAGGUGGGCACCCUCUUCCCGGGGCCCGGUGGUCCUAGGCUCCUAGUGGCUGAGCUGAGAUCCUGUGGACACAGCAUAGUGGACAAUCUAGACUGCCUAGUUAUAGUGGUUUUUCUUACACACCAAACACGCAACUUCAUACCUGCACUCACAGAAACGAAGGUGACAGAACUUGCUUUUCCAAAAUCUUGCUACCCUGCACAUGACAGGGGCCUGAGAUUGCCAUUUUCACCUGGGGCUUGUUUGUCCCAGGGGCCUUGAGGUUUCUAGAACCCAUCCAGUCUCUGUGCCUAGUUGUCACAUGGAAGCCAGCACAUGUGACUCCAGUGCCGUUUCCCUUGGCUGCUGAGCUGUCUGGGACGCAGGGAGCCUGCUGGCUCAGGCUGGUUUCUGGCAGAUGUUGGAGUGAGGGCCUGGGCUCACGUACUGGCCCUGCUGCCCCUGCUGCCCAUCUCCCUGAGGGGUGGUGGGCACGCGUCUUAGCUGAGCCUUAGUUCUCCUGUCUGAGCACAGGACCAGCUCUGGCCUGCCAAGUGCCAUGUGGGUAGUGCCUGCACAAGGCAAUGAUCCAUAAUAUGACGUGUGUGACGUGCAUCACCCAACCCACCUGGGUAUGAGACCAGGACACGGGAUCCCCUUCUGUAGGCUCCUUUCCCCAGAAAAGACGGAUGGGCUGUGUGCUCACAGGGUUUAGCAGGGACCCUUGCUCCCCACAGGCUGCAGUUUAGGAGAAAUCUGCAAUUGAGUAAAGCCAGAGCUUGGUUAGCUGAACUACAAAGAGGCUCCAGGGGCCUCUCUGGCAAAGCUUGGCGUUGCCACUCAAAUGGGACCAAAUGCACUUUUGGGCCUUAGUCACGCAUGGUUUUUUGCAUGCAUUAGAAGCUGCAGUGUUCACAUUCUGGGUAAUUGUUUUUUUAUUUUUUUAUUUUUAGCCGGAUCGAGGUUUCAUUGGCAUGCAAUAAAUGCAUGUAUUUAAAUGUGAGCCUGUGCUGUCACGGUGUGGGACCUCCACCUGGGAGGUUCCCUGGGAAAGUUCUGGUGUCAUACUCAUGUGACUAGAGCAGCCCAUGCCUGGCUAUCUGCUCUCAACCCCAAAUCCUCAAUUCUCUCUUGGCUCCAGCUGGGAAGGGCGCCCUUGGGGCACAGGGCUUUAGCAAUGACUUCUCUGUGCCUGGAGGCCUUUUCUAGAAAGGUCUAUUAUAGUAUUGAGUAACCAGCAGGUGUCUGUGUGGGGUCAAGAGAAUUGGUUUCUUCCAGGCAGAUGCAAAUCAGACCCUUCGAAACCUGUCAGUUGGAGUCAGUGCACACACCUCCCCAGGUAAACAGUGUGUAUUUUCUGCAACGGGCAGAGAUCGAGAUCAGUCAGAACUCACCGCUGAAGUUUCUAGGUAAAAGUUGUUGAUUUGCAAAGGGAGAAACAGAUUUUUUUCAAGUGCAGGAAAGGGCUGUGUGGGUGUCAGUGAUUGGGCCUCCCGCCCCGCGGCGGCAGAUAGUGGGACGCUGUGCCCGGCCCCACCCUUGCCACUUCCUGCAAGUGCAGCCCUGCUUUGCGGUUCCUGCAGAGCCCGGGUAACACCAGCUAGUGCGCUUCACCACUAACCAGCCCGUCACCUUUAACCUCUCCACAAUUUAAUUGUCCUUUUAUUACUGCUAAUGACCUUUUCACCCUCCAAAAAAGCCAGUGCACACACUUACGAGGUCUUUUUGCCCCUUUUCCCUUCUCAUAAUCUUUUGGAUGACCACAGACAAACGAGAUACCAUUUCGUCUGCAUCCUGUGUGAUUCAAAAGAUUCUCAAAAAAAUAAAUAAAUAAAUAAAUAAAAUAAAAAGGGAAAAUCCUUUUCCCCCUGGAACACGAGUCCCUCCUACAAACUGUGUGGAUUCCAGGUUCGUUCUUUUGCAGUUUUCUGGUUGCCGCCCAUCUUUGGGUUGGCAGGUGUGUGCUUGGCUCUCCCUGUGUCCUGAGAGGCCAGGCUGGGGCGAAACCAUGGUGGUCGUCCUGCACCCACGUGGGUCCUGACCUCAUGUUUAUCACACAAGAUCCACUUUUAAAAUGGCUUCUCCAGUUGAGCCAUGCGGUUAGCACCUCAGCCUUGAACUUAACUACUUUAAUUCUGUUCCCACGAUGAUUUCAAAGAGAUAAUCGGUGGGUACAUUGAGGUUCUAGAAUGGCACAAGCAGUUCACCGCUCGCACGAGAAGCCUGGAAAAUUUCACCACUGCCGGCCAGCCCUCGGAGCCGCCGGCCCUGCACACUGGCAGGGUCUGCCAGGCUGGGUGUGCCCCUGAGGAGGAGUGCUCGAGAGCUGGCGGGACUGACUUGCAGCAGAGGGAAAGUGCUUUCCUCUCAGCCUCUUACAAGUAAAAUGCCUGGAGAUGGGUUGUUUUUUGGGUGAAUUUCUGUUCUGCAAAAUUGGCUGAGUACAAAAAUAGAAGCAUUUGCCUAUCUUAGCGCACACCUACCCUCCUGCACCCAGAAGGGCGGAUUGAGUGGGAGUCAAGUGACACAGUUGUCACCUGUUGUUCAGUGCAUUGCACAUGCCCAGGCUUGGGGUCUUGAAGCACAGAAAUCAGGCUCAGCUGGCUCAGCCAGCUGGGGUCCUGGAGGGUCGCGGUGUGGUGUACGGAGAGCCUGAACUCCCAUCCUGUAUCUGAGCAUAGGUGCGAACAGACAGGAGACACUGCCCUGCCCCGGUGCCCUUCCCAACCCCUCUGGGACCUGUGUACCUGCCACCAGCCCUUGGGUUUUUGGCUCUACCUACAGCAAGGUGAGGGGGGCCUGGACGGUGCUCCCUGUGCUGCCUGCUUUUUUUUCUUCUUUUUUUUUUCUUUCUUCUUCUUUGAUGGGGGUGAACAUGGUUGUUCAUUUCUUCUUGUUUUUCUCAUAUUCAAAGCACUGAGUCAAACCUCUGUGCCCUCCACCCCCCACCAUUGUCAACCGAAAAGCAGCACAUGUAUGAUUGAUUGGGGGCAGGUGGUCAUAAAAAGAAUGAACGUGGGGGUCUCCCAUUCUGCUGCAGGCUCUCCUGACUCCUGAGCCGCCCCCACAGCCAGAGAAUGUUCUUGAUGGGCUCUACACGUGGCCCUCUGGUGCACACACGCCUUCUAACCGCUCCAGACCCACAGCGUGGCCCCCGUGCUUUUCUUAAAUGUGGGCAUGACACCUCUGUGCCAGAGCAGAAGUGGCACUCACUCUGGCAGCAUCAGCAUUCCCCCGUAGGGAGGAACAAAGGCAGUGGCCCCUGUGGGUGUAGCUAGCGUCUCCCCAGUCCCCCCAGGCACCUGAGCCCCUGGAGGGUGCGGGCAGACCCGCAGAGUGUGUCAAAUGUGCAAAUCAAAGAACAAAUGUGAUUUUUAAAAAGCAGAACUGUGAGACCUGCAGUCUGUGUUGUUUUUUUUUUGUCGUGAUGACCAAGUUGGGACUCAUUUGUGAAUCAUACAGCUCCCCCUCCCUCCGUUUUGGCUGUAGAUCUGAUUUUUCCUCCCCCAGGUUUCUUAUAAAUGUCACAGUAGCCUUUCGUGGAAACCUUGAAACUUGUAUUUCUCAUUUCAAGAGGUAUUUAACUUUGGAGGACCCAAAGUGGCUGCUUUCCCCCCUUUGUCUUCUGAUUCUGGUUGACCCCAUGUCCACUGGGCUCCUCACCCUGUGGGAUUUCCAUGACCUCUGACCUCCCAGACCCCUCCCAGAGGAUGGAAACACACCAGUUGCAGGGAGCCCAGUGGUAAUAGUAAAUAUUUGUUCAGCUUUUCUCAACAAUUCAGAACCAGACCUCAUCCUGUUCCCUUCAAUGCAUUAAGCACAUUUUCUUAAAAUUCGUAAAUAUUUUUAGUGGAAAAUCUCAAUGCUGUGAUGGUGGGACCUCAGAUUUUAUCACGGGGCUGUGCUACUUGGCACAGCUUUGAUCUGCACUCGCCUUCUCCUCGCGUGUGCAGCCGUGAGCGCAGGGCUGUUUCUGCAGGACUCCUCACCUGCAGGCUGGCCAGAUGGUCCUGUGCAUCCUGGUUUUCCACGGCCCAUCGUCGUGGGAGCCAGAGCAGACAUGGAUACGUGCUGGUGAAAAGCAGUCUUUUUCUAUAAAGUUCCCAAGCAAUUUUGAACUUGCAGCAUCGUGCUCUGAACAGCCUGGUUCUCUCUUUCUCCCUACUCCCCCCAAUUCAACUUUGUUUUGCUGGUAUGUGGGGGUGGGAAGGGAGAAGCCCCCUCCCCAGCCACAGCUCUCCUUGUGGUGUGACUCUUAAGAAGCCUGGUGGUUGUGUGGGUGUCCCUUGUUGUGUAGGAUGAAUGACAGUUGUGUGAGGAUCCCCCUUAGGAUGGGAGUCCCAGGUUGUGUAGUGUGAGUGACAGUUGUGUGAGGAUCCCCCGUAGGAUGGGAGUCCCAGGUUGUGUGGGAUGGGUGACAGUUGUGUGCUGUCCCAUGCUGUGUAGUGUGAUGAUAGUUGUGUGGACAGUUGUGUGCUGUCCCACGCUGUUGGGAUAAAUGGCAGUUGUGAGAACGUCCUGUGUUGUGUAGGGUAAUAGCUGAGGUGGGGCAGCUGUCCUGACCACAAACCUUUGUUUUUUAUUUAUUUUUUUAUUUUCUGUUGUUUUUGUAUUUAUCUCUCAUCUGCAGAACUGCAUUUUUCCAACUAUAGCCCUGAAUUUUAUAAAUAGAACUCAGCAAGUGUCUGGUUGGAAAGGUUGGAAUGAAUACACACAUUCACACGUAUAUUUUUGAUAUUUUAUUUAUCAGAUGUGUUGAGAUCCUAAAUCAUCCAAAACCUAUCAUUAUCCUCCUAAGAAUUUUGAAUGAGAGAAUCCGUCUUUCCGACUUCUCAGCGUUCAUAUUUUUUGAAGUUUGAGGGGCGGGGCAGAGUGUGUAUUUGUGUUCUCUUGUUUUUCCAUGCACCGGCUCUCAGGGACCCUUCCUGGCCAGGGUUUCCUGAAAAGCAUGUUGGGAAAGCAGAACUGGGAGCUUCGUUGCCAAUAACUCGUUCUGGAGUCACUGCCCCAAUUCUGGCCACUUGGCCGAUCCCAGCCCGGGGGCUCUCAGGCCUCAAGAAGUUUAGAAAUAAGAGAAUUGAAGACAUUUCUACCAGGGUGGAGCCGGCCACCGAGCUUUUUUUUUUAACAGCACACACUGUGGUAAACCAUCGGGUUCAUAUUGUUUUUGCUAAAGGCAGUCCUGUGUGCGGUUUCGGUGCACCGCUUGGGUAACUGUUGAAACUGCUGCGGUUUGAAAUAAGCCCUAUUUUGCCUUCUCUUCAAUCUUGUGUCCUCCUCUUGUUCAUGAAAACUACUCUGAGUGUUGGAGAAUCGCCGUGGGUGCCAGGUUGGCAGCUGCAGCCCCCAGGGGUCUCCAUUUCGUUUGACUUUGGUCACCACCGCCUUCUGCCACCCUCGGGGGCCGGUGGUCCCUGGCAGAAAUCUAGGAAGAUGCCACCUAACCGUGCGUGCCAGGCAUCAUCCUGGUUAGCGUUUGUACCAAUUUUUGAAAGAUUUUUUGUUUCUUCUCUGAAACAUGCAUCAGUCAUGAUCCUUUCUCGUGCUACCUGGAACCAUAAAGAGGGAUAAAACUGCAAUGAGUUUGCUCAGGGACACGGAAGCAAAUUAAAGUUAUUCUGUCACGUUUGAGAUAAACUACACCUCAGAAAAUCGGAAAACGAUUAAGGAAUUAGCAGAAGUGGUUAUGUAAAAGCAGGAACUAGACCCAGAAUGUUUUAAAAUGUAGCUGCUAAAAAUAAACGGGGAUGCAGAGAGAAGUUUGGGUUCAGGGCUGUCCCGGUGUGUGUCCCACUCAGAAAGCCUCUGGUCACAAGCAGAGUGUCAACCGAACUGGCAAUACCCUUGGCUUUGCAAGUGUCAUGCACAAGAAUAAUCCAGCCUUGUGCUGAAACACAAAAACAGAUGACCGA